AUGUAAGAGCCUAUUUCAUCACUCGCCUAAAUAACGAUAAAUAGUUGUCGCGGGUGAACCAGUUUCCCUGGUGUUGGCGCAGUAUUCGCGCACCCCAACCUCGGU
rnacentral:sRNA from 1 species